UACGAAGGGUGCAAGCGUUAAUCGGAAUUACUGGGCGUAAAGGGUGCGUAGGCGGCCCGUUAAGUUCGAUGUGAAAGCCCCGGGCUCAACCUGGGAAUGGCAUCGAAGACUGGCAGGCUGGAGUGCGGUAGAGGGUGGUGGAAUUCCCGGUGUAGCGGUGAAAUGCGUAGAGAUCGGGAGGAACAUCUGUGGCGAAGGCGGCCACCUGGACCAGCACUGACGCUGAGGCACGAAAGCGUGGGGAGCAAACAGG
rnacentral:rRNA from 2 species